rnacentral:rRNA from 1 species
UUGGAGGGCAAGUCUGGUGCCAGCAGCCGCGGUAAUUCCAGCUCCAAUAGCGUAUAUUAAAGUUGUUGCAGUUAAAAAGCUCGUAGUUGAAUUUCGGGAUUGACGUGAUGGUCAUGCCUUAAGGGGUAUGAACUGUUACAGUUGAUUUCUCACCUUCUGGAGAAACUUGAUGUCCUUUAUUGGGUGUCUUGCGGAUCCAGGACCUUUACCUUGAAAAAAUUAGAGUGUUUAAAGCAGGCAUUUAUGCUCGAAUACAUUAGCAUGGAAUAAUAGAAUAGGACGGCAUGGUUCUAUUUUGUUGGUUUCUAGGAUCACCGUAAUGAUUAAUAGGGAUAGUUGGGGGCAUUAGUAUUCAAUUGUCAGAGGUGAAAUUCUUGGAUUUAUUGAAGACUAACUACUGCGAAAGCAUUUGCCAAGGAUGUUUUCAUUAAUCAAGAACGAAAGUUAGGGGAUCGAAGACGAUCAGAUACCGUCGUAGUCUUAACCAUAAACUAUGCCGACUAGGAAUCAGACGAUGUUAAUUUUUUAAUGACUCGUUUGGCACCUUACGGGAAACCAAAGUGUUUGGGUUC